CAAUGAGGGGCAGAGAAUUAUGGUCAUUUUUGAAAUCAGUCUACCUCAGUCAACAAAAGCAGGUUCUUUUAAAACACUUUUGAAGACAGAUCAAGAGAAAGGAAGAUACAGGUAACCAGUCAAGAAUAAAAAAAUGAGACAUCGUUUCAGAUCUUAUUGGUAUUAAAAAUAAAUUAGGCAUCUAUUUUAAAUCAACAAAUUUGAAAAUUUAGACAAAAUGGAUACAACUUAAAAAUUGACAUACGAAGGAAUAGAAAGUCUGAAUCCAUAAUUUAAAACUUUCUGUAGUGAAAUCUCUAGGCUCAGGUAGCUUCACCAGUGAAUUUUAUUCAUUAUUUAAGGAAGAAAUAACAGCCAUAUACAAGCCUAUCUGGAGAGUGGAAAAAGGAGGAAUACAUUCCAACAUGUUUUGCUACCAGAAUAACCUUGAUACCAAAACCUGAGACGUGUAUUAUGAGAAAGAAAAAUUGUGGGCCAGUUCUAUUUAUGAAUGGACAUUUCUUAAAAAAAAAAAUCACCAGAAUGCCAGGAAACAAUUUGCUCAAGUUGAUUUUGCAUUAAAUUGGUUUAACAUUUGAAGUUGAAAUUGAAUUUGAAAUUAAAUUUGAAGUUGAAGUUGGUUAACAUUUGCAGUUGAAAUCCACUGCAAUAACAGAAUUAAGGAGAAAUGUUGUUUUAAUAGAUAGUGAAAAAUGAUAAAUUUAGAUAUCCACUUGUAGUUGGGAACUCUUAGCAAACUAA
rnacentral:lncRNA from 1 species